CUCACAGGCACUCUUUUACCUCGCUUUCACAACGACUUCAGGCUGCUGGGGUUUAUGAGGUGAAAGAGCAGGGUUUUAUAAUGAUUGUAACUUGACCCUUUAUUGGCCUCGUUUAGUGAGCAAUCAACCACGUUUGACCAUAAAGGAACAGUUUUAGAUGAGAUCUUAAUUGCUUGAAAUAAUUAUCCGUAGACAAAUGCACGGUGAAUAUGUCUUCAUAAAACUGGCAUUAUUGUUUAUUUUACUGUAAGUGAAAUGGAUUAUGAAGGCUCUUGAGCGCACACUGAAUCCAGCAGCGCGAGGUCCUUGCUCACGUUUUCAUUUUUCUGAAUUUGUUAUCCUUUCUUAUCAAAAUGCUUGCUAUGGAUGUGAAAAUGCAAAAAAAAAUACAAACCGAAUUCUAGAAUUGUUGGGACAUAACAUAACAAAUAGAAAGAAAAAAAUCAGCUGGAAGAACGUCUAGCAACUAAUUACGUUAAGUGACAUCAUGAUUAGCUAAAAGAGAUGUCUUAGAGAGUCUCUCAGAAGUAAAGAUGGACAGAGCCUCUCAUCUGUGAAACAUGAUAAGACACUCCUCACAUGACUCUAUCAGACAUUACUAAAUGACCCAGGAAUACUUCCAGAAACCUCUGUGGGUAAACACAAUCAUCCCAGCCGUCUGCAGAUAACAACUAAAGCUCUAUCAUGAUAAAAAGAAGCCAUAUCUACAGCAACUAGUGUCUCACAUCUGUCCUCAUGGAUUUCACACAGGCCAGAUGUGGGCCAUAUCUGGGCCAACACUAUGUUGCUGUCUGGGAUGUGAAAACGGCCCAAAACUGUCUAGACACAUUGGACUGUUUCAAAGUGGAAAAGCGUUCUGUGGUCAGAUGAGUCCAAAUUAGACAGUCUUGAAAAUCCCAGACGCCGUGUCCUCAGAGCUAAAGAGGGGAUCUUCAGCGUGUUACCAAGCAGGACAAUACUAAACCACAUACUGCUGAUAUUACCACGGCAUGACUUCAUAGUAGAGGAGUCCAGAUCUGAAUUCAGACCUUUCACCUAGAGAAAACAUUUGGUGCAUCAUUGAAGGACUCUUCAGCAGCUGGAAACUUAUAUCAGAGCUGCACAGUGGGUGUUUUGUGCUGACCCUUGACCCCUGGAGCGCUGGCAGACUCCUGCUGUGGUCAAACAGACAGUUUGUUCUAGGAAUGAUUACGACACUCUCCUCACAGACCGAUUGCCCCGGAGGCCCUUAUCAGGGAGGACAUUCAGAUAAGACCUGGCCCUUACAAGGAAAGGCCUGAAAUACUACUGACAUUGAUUUUCUCCUGAACAAAUUACACUUUAUGUUUGCUCGUUUACUUAAACUCCUACUCAGAUGAGCUGAUACGCACAAAUCAUGAACCCACUUAGGUUUUUUUGUUUUUUGUUUUUUUUUGCAGAUUUUAUGUUGUAUAGAGUUUGUGAGAAAAAACCCUUUUCUCUCUGAAAACAAAUCAAAGGCGAUCAGAUGGCAUGUGACUGAAGAAGUGACUCUUUUUGAGGCCCAUGUUAGUGAUCUGACUCUCUCCCCGUCUGAGAGAGUCGCCCUUUGGCUCCGGCCGCGAUUGGCCUCUGGAGAAUCUCCACAUGAGGCGAGAGAUUGUGUGUGUGUGUGUGUGUGUGUGUUUGUGUGUGUGUGUGUGUGUGUGUGUGUGUGUGUGUGUGUGUGUGUGUGUGUGUGUGUGUGUGUGUGUGUGUGUGUGUGUGUGUGUGUGU